rnacentral:misc_RNA from 1 species
UUUCCGUAGGUGAACCUGCGGAAGGAUCAUUAUUGUAUACCCGGGGUGCGAGGGCUGUCGCUGACCCGAAAGGUCGUGCACGCCCGAGUGCCCUCACACACAUCCAUCUCACCCCUAUGUGCACCACCGCGUGGGUCCCCCUUUGGCUUGUUCGGAGGGGGGCUUACGUUUUCACACAAACUUUGUAUGCAGUGUAGAAUGUAUUUUUUGUUUUUGCGAUCACGCAAUCAAUACAACUUUCAACAACGGAUCUCUUGGCUCUC